rnacentral:rRNA from 1 species
UACAGAGGUCCCGAGCGUUGUUCGGAUUCAUUGGGCGUAAAGGGUGCGUAGGCGGCGGGGCAAGUCGGAUGUGAAAUCUCAGGGCUCAACCCUGAAACUGCAUUCGAUACUGCCUUGCUCGAGGACUGGAGAGGAGAUUGGAAUUCACGGUGUAGCAGUGAAAUGCGUAGAUAUCGUGAGGAAGACCAGUGGCGAAGGCGGAGUCUCUGGACAGUUCCUGACGCUGAGGCACGAAGGCCAGGGGAGCAAACGGG